UCGUUUGUCGAUCUAGCUUUGUUUAUACAUAAACAGUGACAAAAUAGAUACUUAAAUUUUAUAAAUGUAUUUUUGACAGUGGACUUACUUUAUUAAUUUUAUAUGAUGUGCCUUAAAUGCGUGUGUUGUGUGUGUCAGAAUGAUAAAGAAAAGAUGUUUUGAAGAGUGAAGAUUCGUUGACUGGGGCAUUAACGGAGUGGAGGGGGAGCCACCAUAACUUCUUGACAACGGCGCCACUGAACUCUCACCCUCUGCCCAUACAUGAUAACCGGUGGCAAAAGUACUCCAAGGAACCUCGGCGCGUUGGUAGCUAAUUGGAGGUGGAGCUGGGCCGGCGCUCGCCUCACCAUGCCACGUUGCCAGAUCCGCUGCGUCACU
rnacentral:lncRNA from 1 species